rnacentral:rRNA from 1 species
GACGAACGCUGGCGGCGUGCCUAAUACAUGCAAGUAGAACGCAGUUGCGAACGGGUGAGAAACGCGUAGGUAACUGCCUCAUAGCGGGGGAUAACUAACUGAAACGAGAGCUAAUACCGCAUACUGGGAGCUGGACCGGCGUUGCAUGAGCGUGUUGGUGAGGUAAAGGCCCACCAAGGCGACGAUACAUAGCCGGCUGGAGAGGGUGGUCGGGCACACUGGGACUGAGACACGGCCCAGACUCCCACGGGAGGGAGCAGUAGGGGAUCUUCGGCAAUGGGCGGCAGUCUGACCGCGCCACUCCCGGUUGGUUGAGGAAGUUUUCGGGUCGUAAAGCUAUUUUGUUAGGGAAGCGGUAACUAACCAGAAAGGGCCGGCUAACUACGUGCCAGCAGCCGCGGUAAUAC